CCAGAAGGCAAGAAAGGGGAGUGUAGACACUUACCAUAAGGUCAUUGUCCAAAAGGAGCUCCUCGAAUGCCCCUAGUGACCCAGGGUCUGCCUCUUUGUGGAGAGAGUGCUGGUGCUGCCCUUUGCUCAUGAAAGCCAGCUCAUCCUGAAUAGGAACCUCAGUUCUGUGUAUAUGAACCUCUUUGCAUACAGACAGCUCCUUCCUCUUCCGGCCCCAGCAACCAAAUUUUUGAUUAAAUGUUUUGCGCAUGUUGCUUUGGGCUUUAUCUAAAGUCGUAAAAGUAUGCACAAAAGACCCCAGUUCCUUUACGAAGGUUUCAC